GUUCCAUGUACUUUGGCCCUGCAGUCGGUCACAGAAAAGGGAAUGAAUCACACGAAUUGCCUGGGUUAUGGAGCUUGGGGAGGAUUCGUAUGAAUCCCCCUGUUCGUGGGAUCCUUUCUACCGAACGGCAGGCCGUUCGGUAGUUUCUGCACGAAUUGCUGGAAGUCUGGAGGUCUCAGCGGUGUUUGCUUAGUCGAGUGUCCGAUUUUAGUUCCAGACACUCGACGGCAAAACACCGCUGUUCGGGAGUUUAAGAUGGCCGCCGCCACGUGUUCGUUUCCCGAAUGGCGGCCACCCAGAGGACAAAAC